GCCUGGGUGGCUCAGUCGGUUGGGCGUCCGACUUCGGCUCGGUCCGUGAGUUCGAGCCCCACAUCGGGCU
rnacentral:tRNA from 1 species